AACGCACCUUGCGCUCCUUGGUAUUCCGAGGAGCAUGCCCGUUUGAGUGUCUCGAUAUCAUCAGGCGCCCGUGCCCUUGCGGCCGGUGCGACUGGACUUGGACGUGCUGCCGGGCCUUUGCCGCCCGGCUCGUCUUAAAUGCAUUAGCGAGAGACGCUAGCCUCUGCCGGCUCUCAUUGGCGUGAUAAGGUCACACCCGUCGAGAGUCCCCGGUCACGAGCUUGCGACCCUUCCGCUUCCAACCGUCCCCCCCGGGACAACAGCGGACCUUUGCGUCUGACAUCUGACCUCAAAUCGGGUAGGACUACCCGCUGAACUUAA
rnacentral:rRNA from 1 species